CCCCUGGUGAUCCAGUGGUUAAGAAUCCACUUGACAAUGUAGAAGACGCAGGUUCAAUUCCUGCUCAGGGAA
rnacentral:tRNA from 1 species